UAAAUCUAAUUUCUUGCUAUAAGAGGAGCUCUCGGGUCUGUGAUUGAUGGUGGUGUAGCUUCUUGCACCUCUAAGAAAUGCUUCAUGUCUCCAUUUGCCUGCUUCAAACUCGCCCUCGACUCUCGGAAUGAUUUGAGAAGCUCAUCGUAAUCCGGGGUUCGCAACUGCUCAAUGGAUUCCAUGCUUGGCAGGUCGAUUUGCCGCCUUCUCGGAGUCGAACAUGAUGGUUCAUCCACCUGAGGUGUUCAAGGAGAAGAAGCAAUAGCAAUUUGGUCAGUAAGAGACAGAUCACAUUCUCCUAUCUGUUACUUUUCAUGACUACUCACCAGAUAUUCUUCCUCUAGGCAUUUCCCAGCAUUUUCAGUAAUCUCAACAACCCUGUGGUAAUGUCCUCCCUUCAACUCGCUUAUUUCCUCAUGGCAUGGUUUGAUUAUGGAGCCAAUGUUUGCGCACGCAUCAUGGUCAAGUUUUAGUGAACCUGAAAUAACAGAAGUUGCGGUGAGAAAGAAAAUUUGAUUGUCACGCACUGUGCUACAGUAACUCAAAAUUUUCACUGUAAAUCUUACUGUCGAUGGAAGAAAGAAGGGCCUUGUUUGCUAUAUCUAUUUCUUCAAGGGUAGUUGAUACCGCAGACGACAAUUUGGAACGCAGCGAUUGGUUAGCCUCGGUUCCAGUCCUGUUUCAUGCACAGACCAAUAUAGCAUAAUGGUCAUUGUUCAUAGCAUACGAUAAGAAUGUUUCAAGUACUUGAUAUUUUCUAUUCUGGUACCUGACUAUUGAAUCUGCCGAUUCCACAUUUCCUUUGCCAAGGCUGAAAAGAGAGUCCUCGGCGUUCUUCCACUGUUGUGCACCCAUGGUUGUCUUUGCCUUACUGCAGUUGAGAUAGCAAUGGUCAAACAUUGAGACAUCCGUGAUUCCGUAUAGCAUAGCAGAAGGUAUCACAAUUCACAGCAUGAUGCCAUGAUACUGAGUACUCACCAUUCCACAAGCACUUCUGCCAAGCACGACCUUCCACUGUCCACUGCAGUGGUAUCUUCAAUGUAAUUCUUCUCAGUUUCUUCCAUGUAAAAGCCCCACUUUUCCCGCACGGACGAAGUGAAGUCCUGGGCAGUUGAAAUUUCAUUCUGUAGGUGACUUGUGCGGUUUACAGCGCUCUCUCGAAGGUUACCUACUGCUGUUUGGACCUGCAGUACAUGUUC
rnacentral:sRNA from 1 species